rnacentral:tRNA from 1 species
GAAGGUAUAGCUCAAUGGUAGAUCAUGUGCUUAGUAUGCACAAAGUCCUGGGUUCAAUCCCUGGCACCACCA